UACGUAGGGUGCGAGCGUUGUCCGGAAUUAUUGGGCGUAAAGAGCUCGUAGGCGGCCUGUCGCGUCGGAUGUGAAAGCCCGGGGCUCAACCCCGGGUCUGCAUUCGAUACGGGCAGGCUGGAGUGUGGUAGGGGAGAUCGGAAUUCCUGGUGUAGCGGUGAAAUGCGCAGAUAUCAGGAGGAACACCGGUGGCGAAGGCGGAUCGCUGGGCCAUUACUGACGCUGAGGAGCGAAAGCGUGGGGAGCGAACAGG
rnacentral:rRNA from 1 species